rnacentral:rRNA from 1 species
GACGAACGCUGGCGGCGUGCCUAAUACAUGCAAGUAGAACGCACAGUUUAUACCGUAGCUUGCUACACCAUAGACUGUGAGUUGCGAACGGGUGAGUAACGCGUAGGUAACCUGCCUGGUAGCGGGGGAUAACUAUUGGAAACGAUAGCUAAUACCGCAUCAUCUUGAUUAUUGCAUGAUAAUUGAUUGAAAGAUGCUAUUGCAUCACUACCAGAUGGACCUGCGUUGUAUUAGCUAGUAGGUGAGGUAACGGCUCACCUAGGCGACGAUACAUAUCCGACCGGAGAGGGUGAUCGGCAACACUGGGACUGAGACACGGCCCAGACUCCUACGGGAGGCAGCAGUAGGGAAUAUUCGGCAAUGGACGAAAGUCUGACCGAGCAACGCCGCGUGAGGGAAGAAGGGUUUCGGAUCGUAAAGCUCUGUUGUAAGAGAAGAACGGGUGUGAGAGUGGAAAGUUCACACUGUGACGGUAUCUUACCAGAAAGGGACGGCUAACUACGUG